rnacentral:rRNA from 1 species
GAUGAACGCUGGCGGCGUGCCUAAUACAUGCAAGUCGAGCGAGCAGAUGAGGAGCUUGCUCCUCUGACGUUAGCGGCGGACGGGUGAGUAACACGUGGAUAACCUACCUAUAAGACUGGGAUAACUUCGGGAAACCGGAGCUAAUACCGGAUAAUAUAUUGAACCGCAUGGUUCAAUAGUGAAAGACGGUUUUGCUGUCACUUAUAGAUGGAUCCGCGCCGCAUUAGCUAGUUGGUAAGGUAACGGCUUACCAAGGCAACGAUGCGUAGCCGACCUGAGAGGGUGAUCGGCCACACUGGAACUGAGACACGGUCCAGACUCCUACGGGAGGCAACAGUAGGGAAUCUUCCGCAAUGGGCGAAAGCCUGACGGAGCAACGCCGCGUGAGUGAUGAAGGUCUUCGGAUCGUAAAACUCUGUUAUUAGGGAAGAACAAAUGUGUAAGUAACUAUGCACGUCUUGACGGUACCUAAUCAGAAAGCCACGGCUAACUACGUG